UACGGAGGGUGCAAGCGUUAUCCGGAUUCACUGGGUUUAAAGGGUGCGUAGGCGGGCAGGUAAGUCAGUGGUGAAAUCUCCGAGCUUAACUCGGAAACUGCCGUUGAUACUAUUUGUCUUGAAUAUUGUGGAGGUAAGCGGAAUAUGUCAUGUAGCGGUGAAAUGCUUAGAUAUGACAUAGAACACCAAUUGCGAAGGCAGCUUACUACACAAUGAUUGACGCUGAGGCACGAAAGCGCGGGGAGCAAACAGG
rnacentral:rRNA from 1 species